rnacentral:rRNA from 1 species
UACAGGGGGUGCAAACGUUGCUCGGAAUUAUUGGGCGUAAAGCGCGCGUAGGCGGCUAUCUAAGUCGGAUGUGAAAGCCCCUGGCUUAACUGGGGAGGGUCAUUCGAUACUGAUCGACUCGAAGGCAGGAGAGGGAAGCGGAAUUCCCGGUGUAGUGGUGAAAUUCGUAGAUAUCGGGAGGAACACCAGUGGCGAAGGCGGCGAUCUGGGAAGAUACUGACGCUGAGGUGCGAAAGCGUGGGGAGCAAACAGG